GUCAGAGACAGCAAGAACAGCUUACAUCAGAGAUAACCAGAUGGCGAGAGGCAAGUGCAAGAACAUAAGCAACAGAAACCAAGGCUACGUGGCAACACCAGAACCCAGUUCUCCCAGCACAGCAAGUCCUGGAUACCCUGACACACCGGAAAAGCAAGAUUCCGGUUUAAAAUCACAUCUCAUGAUAGAGGACUUUACGAAGGGCAUACAUAACUCCCUUAAAGAAAUUCAGGAGAACAGAGGUAAACAAGUAGAAGCCCUUAAAGAGGAAACACAAAAAUCCCUUAAAGAAUUACAGGAAAACACAACCAAACAGGUGAAGGAAUUGAACAAAACCAUCCAGGAUCUAAAAAUGGAAAUAGAAACAAUAAAGAAAUCACAAA
rnacentral:lncRNA from 1 species